rnacentral:misc_RNA from 1 species
CUUCCAUGAACAACGUACCUGGGAUAUUUCUUGCGUUGCCAACAUUUAUCAUGAAUGGGUAAUUUUUCUUUGGGUUUUGACAACUAUUUUAGUAGCUAAAGACUUUGAUAACUAGUGUCAGCAUUUUGAUUUUGAUGGGUUUUAAGUUACGAUCUUUACUCAUAAACUUCAAUUGAGAGAACCUUAAUCUUUGAUGGGAUCUUCUUACUAGACUUAAUCUUCGAU